rnacentral:lncRNA from 1 species
CCGUUUAGCAACCUGUCUUGCCACAGCUGUUAAGUGAAUCAAUGAGUCAGUUGCCAAGCGUCUGAAUUUUGAUCUCAUGACUACAGGGAUGCUACAAUCAUCGUGUCUUACAUUGGCCAGGACUGCAAAGCAAUUCCAGAAUUCCUUGGGACAAAAUACGGACACAUCGCAAAAAGGCUGGACCUCAGCUUCAAUUUAUUAAGAUGUUUAUUGUGGACCAACUGAAAUUAUGGAUUGGAUUGAGACAGACCUAUCUCUUCUUGAAAGUCUGAAGUGAUGAAGCUACCACAACUUCCAAAGGCAACUUCUUUUCCAUUGGUUGACUGUUCUAGUAUUUUACCUGAUCAUUCUCAUAUUCUCCCCUCCAUUGUCUUUCUUGAUAUGUGUUGGAUCUGAGGAUUUAGAAAGCUGUUGCUUCUCAGAUUCAAGUUUUUGUCUCUCCCUACAAUUCUAUGAAUUGAGUAAAAAGUUAACCAAGGUGUAGUCAUUUGUAUUACAGUCCCAGGCCA